rnacentral:rRNA from 1 species
UACGAAGGGAGCUAGCGUUGUUCGGAAUCACUGGGCGUAAAGCGCACGUAGGCGGAUGUGUCAGUCAGGGGUGAAAUCCCGGAGCUCAACUUCGGAACUGCCUUUGAUACUGAAGAUCUUGAGUUCGGGAGAGGUGAGUGGAAUUCCUAGUGUAGAGGUGAAAUUCGUAGAUAUUAGGAAGAACACCAGUGGCGAAGGCGGCUCACUGGUCCGGUACUGACGCUGAGGUGCGAAAGCGUGGGGAGCAAACAGG